rnacentral:tRNA from 1 species
AUAUGUUAUGGUGCCGCACGCAGGAUUGAAAAUCCUCGUGUCGGCGGUUCGAUUCCGUCUCUGGGCACCA